AUGUCUGUUUUCAAUCCUUCAGUCCAUGACAAUGACUAUGACGAUGACGAUACCCCGAUAUCCUUCAAGAGGUCGUCAAGCAGCAGGCCGCCCCCCUCGAAGCAGGAAGGCUCAUCGGCAAAUAUCACCUAUGUUGGGAGCCCUAAGGCUGCAGCCUCGAAUCAGCAGAGGAAUGGGAUUAAUGGCGCUUCCAGGUCGCCGCUGCCACCGAAGCCACAGUCGACCAGCUCAAACCCUCGACCUUCAGGGUCUGUUCAGCCUAACAGUUCUCUAGAACGGAGUCAAAAGAGUAACACAGUGGAUAAGAGUAAAAUGAAAAGACCUCAGGUCAAAGGUGACAAGUCAGAUGAUUCAGAUGAUGACAAGCCACUUGCUUUGAGGAAAAAGCCUGACACGAAAUUAAAGAAAGUUGUCACAGGAGGUGAGAAUGCAUAUGGUUCAGGAGAUGAUCGUAAGCCACUUGGUAUGAAUAUCAACUCAGCAAAAGUGGCUUCUAAUAAUAGCACAAAUAAGACCUUUUUGUUGAAGACUGCACCACCUAAGACUCUGCAACCUGAUGAUGAUUCAGAUGAUGAUCAUAAGCCACUUGUUCAGAGGUUCAACCCAGCAAAAGGGGCUUCUAAUAAUAGCACAAGUAAGCCCGUUUUAUUGAAGCCUGCACCUAAGAUUGUGCAAUCUGAUGAUGAUUCAGAGGAUGAGAAACCACUUGCCAGCAGGUUACCCACUAAUGCUGCUCCAAAAAGUAGAGGUAGUACCUCUGAUUCAGAGGAUGAGAAGCCACUGUCUGCCCGAUUUUCAAGAGGUACUGCAGGUACAUCUGCGAGUAUCUCAAAUUCCAAGGACAAGCUCCCGUCUAACAACAAGGGGCCAACCAAUAAUUCGAGUGCUCCCCGGAAUUCAGUUAAAAGGCCAGGUGAUAACAAUAAUCAAACAAGUUCAGCUCUUAAGAAGACCAAAUCUUCUGAUGCUUCUGCCUCAGGAAGUGUCAAAAGAGAAUCCAAGGAUGAUGACAGUAACAGUGUACCCGUCGAAAGAAAACUGACACCGGGGGAGUCUUCAAAAAGCAAGCCACCUGUAAAGAAUAUUGUAAAGAAGAGUCCUUUAUCCGUUAAGAAGGAUAAUAAGAAAUUCAAAACAAAAACAAAGAAAACAAUGAAAAGUUCCCAGUUCUCAAAAUCACUGAGGGUGCCUCCAGGAUCUGGCGGUGGAAAGAAAUGGUCUACUUUGGAGCACAAUGGUGUUAUUUUCCCCCCUCCAUACAAUCCCCAUGGCGUCAAAAUGCUUUACAAUGGGCAACCUGUUGAGCUGACUCCAGAAGAGGAGGAGGUUGCAACCAUGUUUGCUGUGAUGAAAGACACGGAGUACGCAACAAAGAAAACAUUUAUCGACAACUUUUUUGGUGACUGGAAAAAAAUUCUUGGUAAAAACCAUAUCAUCAAGAAAUUUGAGCUUUGUGACUUCACCCCUAUUUAUGAAUGGCACCUCAGAGAGAAGGAGAAGAAGAAACAGAUGACAUCGGAGGAGAAGAAAGCAUUGCGGGAAGAGAAAUUGAAACAAGAGGAGAAGUAUAUGUGGGCUGUUGUUGAUGGUGUUAGAGAGAAGGUUGGCAAUUUCAGAGUAGAACCACCAGGCUUGUUCAGGGGACGAGGAGAGCAUCCUAAGAUGGGAAAACUGAAGAGACGUAUUCGUCCAAGUGAUAUUACAAUAAACAUUGGAAAAGGCACUCCAGUCCCAGAGUGUCCAAUAGAGGGACAAAGCUGGAAAGAAGUCAAACAUGACAAUACUGUUACAUGGUUGGCCUUUUGGAAUGACCCGAUUAGCCAAAAAGAUUUCAAGUAUGUUUUCUUGGCAGCAAGCAGCUCACUAAAGGGACAGAGUGACAAGGAGAAAUAUGAGAAGUCCCGAAAAUUGAAGGAUCACAUACACAACAUUCGUGUAAAUUACACAAAGGAUUUCAAUAGCAAAGAUGUCUCCAAGAAGCAAAUUGCAGUGGCAACAUACCUCAUAGAUAAACUAGCCCUUAGGGCUGGUAAUGAGAAGGAUGAUGAUGAGGCUGAUACUGUUGGUUGUUGUACGCUGAAGGUUGAUAAUGUUACCUGUGUGCCUCCAAAUAAGCUUCAGUUUGACUUCCUUGGUAAAGAUUCUAUAAGAUAUUUCAACACUGUAGAGGUUGAAUUACCUGUAUACAAUGCGAUUGAGGAAUUCCGUACUGGCAAAAAGGAUGGAGAUGCUGUCUUUGACCAGCUUGAUACAACGAAACUGAAUCAUCACCUGAAGGACUUGAUGCCUGGCCUUUCUGCGAAAGUGUUCCGUACAUAUAAUGCUUCGAUUACCUUGGAUGCUAUCUUGCACGAAGAAACAGAAGAUGGAACCCUUCUUGAAAAGAUUGCUGUCUAUCAACGAGCAAACAAAGAGGUUGCUAUAAUUUGUAACCAUCAGCGUGCUGUGUCAAAGUCACACGAUACCCAGAUGACUAAGCUGAAUGAAAAGAUUGAUGAAUUAAAGGCCCAGGUGGAUGAGCUGAACAAAGAUUUGGGCAAAGUGAAGAGAGGAAAACCUCUAGGCAACGGUGCAGAUGGGAAGCCAAAGAGAACUUUGGCACCUGAAGCGAUUGAGAAGAAGAUCUCUCAGAUAGAAACCAAGAUAGAGAAAAUGGAGAUGGAUAAGAAGACGAAAGAGGAUUUGAAGACGGUAGCAUUAGGGACAUCAAAGAUCAACUACCUUGACCCUAGAAUUACGGUAGCAUGGUGCAAAACCCAUGAAGUCCCUAUUGAGAAGAUUUUCAGCAAGACGAUUCUUGCAAAGUUUGGAUGGGCAAUGGACGUCGAGCCGGAUUUCAGAUUCUAA
rnacentral:rRNA from 1 species